ensembl:lncRNA
UGGUAAUGGUUGACCAGGGAAAUGUCUGUUGUCAUGGUAAUGGUUGACCAGGGAAAUGUCUGUGUCAGGGAAAAAUGUCUGUUGCCAUGGUAAUGGUUGACCAGGGAAAUGACUGUGGAAUGGUAAUGGUUGACCAGGGAAAAUGUAUGUUGUCAUGGUAAUGGUUGACCAGGGAAUGUCUGUUGUCAUGGUAAUGGUUGACAAGGGAAAUGUCUGUGGCAUGGUUGACCAGGGAAAUGUCUGUUGUCAUGGUAAUGGUUGACCAGGGAAAUGUCUGUGGAAUGGUAAUGGUUGACCAGGGAAAUGUCUGUGGCAUGGUAAUGGUUGACCAGGGAAAUGUAUGUUGUCAUGGUAAUGGUUGACCAGGGAAAUGUCUGUGGCAUGGUAGACCAGGGACAUGUCUGUGGCAUGGUAAUGGUUGACCAGGGAAAAUGUCUCUUGUCAUGGUAAUGGUUGACCAGGGAAAAUGUCUGUUGUCAUGGUAAUGGUUGACCAGGGAAAUGUCCGUGGCAUGGUAAUGGUUGACCAGGGAAAUGUCUGUUGUCAUGGUAAUGGUUGACCAGGAAAAUGUCUGUGGCAUGGUAAUGGUUGACCAGGGCAAUGACUGUGGCAUGGUAAUGGUUGACCAGGGAAACUGUAUGUUGUCAUGGUAAUGGUUGACCAGGGAAUGUCUGUUGUCAUGGUAAUGGUUGACAAGGGAAAUGUCUGUGGCAUGGUAAUGGUUGACCAGGGCAAUGACUGUGGCAUGGUAAUGGUUGACCAGGGAAAUGUCUGUGGCAUGGUAAUGGUUGACCAGGGAAAUGUCUGUGGCAUGGUAAUGGUUGACCAGGGAAAUGUCUGUGGUCAUGGUAAUGGUUGACCAGGGAAAUGUCUGUGGCAUGGUAAUG